CAAGUAAUCCCUCCAUCCGGAAUUACUUGUCAUCAAAAUGGAUGUGUCUAGAACUAAAAUACAUCUAGAUACAUCCAUUUUAAUGACAAGUAUUUUCGGACGGAGGGAGUACAAG
rnacentral:pre_miRNA from 1 species